UAGGGAAUCUUCCACAAUGGGCGAAAGCCUGAUGGAGCAACGCCGCGUGUGUGAUGAAGGGUUUCGGCUCGUAAAACACUGUUGUAAGAGAAGAAUGACAUUGAGAGUAACUGUUCAAUGUGUGACGGUAUCUUACCAGAAAGGAACGGCUAAAUACGUACACG
rnacentral:rRNA from 1 species